rnacentral:lncRNA from 1 species
CUGUACAGCAGCAGGGAGCUCCUACUCCAAGAUUUUCACCCUCAACUUUACCAUCACCAACCUGUUUUACACAACAAAGAUGGGCCACAGAGACUCUGGAACAUUUAAAGCUGCUGAGAAUGUCAUCAAAGUACUGGUGAGUCUCCAUUUUUCCCUUCUCCUGCCACACACACUACCUUCUCUCUCCCAUGCUGCCUCCCUUAGCCCUGAGUAUCCAGGCUUGUUCUAGCCAGGUACUCAGAAGUUCCUUUCUCACCUUUUAUUUUUAGCUCAAGUCUGUGUUUGCAAUGACCAACCUUGGCUCUCACUAUUCUGGAUGCAGUGUGAUCUUGCUGAGGCCUCUGAAGAAUGGGACAGCAACAGGAGUGGAUGUUCUGUGUACUUGUCAGGAAGAUUCCUCCAACCCUGUUCUGGACAAAGAGAAGGUUUACUGGGAGCUUAGUGAACAAAUAUAUAGAAGAAAUCUAAGACACCUGCUUAUAGAGAGAGACAGCCUCUUUGUGGAUGGUAAAUAGCUUGACUUGGGGCAUAUGCCUCUCUGUCUCUGGGUGGUUCCCUUUCUAGAAAACAACCCACCUGCCCCCAAUUUUUCUAUCCCUUUGAACCUCCUUUGUUUCCUUGGUUUCUUUAUCUCUCACUCCUGGGAUCACUGACCCUCAAAGUGGUGACAAACUGAACACAUGGGGAGCUCAUUUCUCAAGAUUGGAAGAGGCUAUGCUCCUUCUAUUAAGAAUUGUGGCAUGAAUCCCUUACUCUUAAAUGGUGAAGGACCAUUCUCCCAACCCUAUAGGUGCCAAACCAUCUCCUCUCCAUUCCUCCAUUAACCUUUUGUCCACAUAGAGAUACCCUACUGAAAGAUUUGUGUGUUCUCUCUCUCCCUCUCUUCUCUCUCUCUCUCUCUUUCUCUCUCUCUCUCUAUGCCCCCCCUCUCUCCUUAUUGUCCUUCCUUCUCUUCAUCCUCCCUCUUUUCUCUUUUUUGUCUUCUUUUUUCCCGUUCUGCACCUCUUGUCUUCACAUCUCUUCUGACUUAUUCUUUUUUCUAUGCCAUUUUCCUCUCCUCCCUCUAUUCAUCAACUCUUCAUUGCCUCUUCUUCCUGCUUUCAUCUUCUCUCCAAA